UAUCCAGAACUCUAAUUCUAUUGCAAUUCCAACUUUUGAUCGGAGAACCGAUUUCUGGAGUGCCGUCGAAGUUCAGAUUCGUUUAUCCAGCCGCCGAUAAAUGAUUAUUUCCAGCGAGCUUCUGGUGGAAGCCAACGUCUCUGUCGAAUAGGUUGAAGUCUUCUCAACAGCUAUAAAUAUGUAUUUGAUCAUAAGAGUUGGCGUCUUUGGAGACCUUUGCAAUGAAAUGAGAUGAAUGUGCAAGAGAAUGCAGAGAACGGAUGUGGAUUAUGGGAUGUGGAUUAUGGUGAAUAAUAUGAAUUGUUCACCUUUAGCAUGUGAAAUUGGAUUUGUUAAGUUAGUGGCAAUGAUGUUUUUCAAAAAAAAAAAAAGUUAGUGGCAAUGAUGAUGGUGAUGAUAGGUGGAAGGUGAUGAUGGUACAAUUGUCUUGAGAAACACCAAGCAUGGCAUGAUGCUCUUGAUUUGAUAAAAAAAAAGGCAUGAUGUUCUUGAUAUACACAACAUUGCUGCUAUGUGAUUUUUAAUGGCUUUCUGCUAUGUAAUCUCUAACAAUUAUUCAAUCCAAAUUAUAAUAAAAAUAUAUCUUCUCA